rnacentral:rRNA from 1 species
AUGGUAGUGGCCGUCGCCUCGGAGGGCGCAGGGGAGGCGCGCUGCUCGCGUCGCUCACGGAGCCUUGAGAGGCGCUCUUGUUCUGCACGGAGGACGCCGGGGGCUACUUCCCCGUCGAGUCCGCCGCCCGGGCGCUUGUGCGGCUGGCCGAUGCCGAGGUCGCCAGCCCCGACGAGAUGCUGCUCGCCGUGCGCGCCAUCACCUGCAGCUGGUUGGAUAUUAGUUAUGAAGGUUGUCCCUGGAUUUUUGCUCUAUCGAGGACUGCAUGAGCUUGGUCAAUAUGCAUUCUUGGAAAUUCUCUGGGAGCCAGCCAUAAAGAAGGAAUUCCUAUUGUAUCCUGUGGCAUUCUUAGUUAGGAAUUUGUUAUUGCCAUCAGAAGGUGUACUACUUGACCAUGCAGAAUACAAGGUGUCACGAUGA